ACUCCUACGGGAGGCAGCAGUGAGGAAUUUUGGGCAAUGGGGGAAACCCUGACCCAGCGACGCCGCGUGGGCGAUGAAGGUCUUCGGAUCGUAAAGCCCUGUGAGUGGGGAAGAAGGGAUUGGUUGCUAAUAUCAACCAGUUUUGACAGUACCCACAGAGGAAGCCCCGGCUAACUACGUGCCAGCAGCCGCGGUAAAACGUAGGGGGCUAGCGUUGUUCGGAAUUACUGGGCGUAAAGCGCGUGUAGGCGGUUUUGUAAGUCGGAAGUGAAAUUCCUCGGCUCAACCGAGGAACUGCUUUCGAAACUACUGAACUUGAGUAUGGGCGGGGAGAGCGGAAUUCCCGGUGUAGCGGUGAAAUGCGUAGAUAUCGGGAAGAACACCAGUGGCGAAGGCGGCUCUCUGGACCAUUACUGACGCUGAGACGCGAAAGCGUGGGUAGCAAACAGGAUUAGAUACCCUGGUAGUC
rnacentral:rRNA from 1 species